CGGAGGAUCCAAGCGUUGUCCGGAAUUAUUGGGCGUAAAGGGCGCGUAGGCGGAUACUUAAGUCCGGUGUGAAAGAUCAGGGCUCAACCCUGAGAGUGCAUCGGAAACUGGGUAUCUUGAGGACAGGAGAGGAAAGUGGAAUUCCACGUGUAGCGGUGAAAUGCGUAGAUAUGUGGAGGAACACCAGUGGCGAAGGCGACUUUCUGGACUGUAACUGACGCUGAGGCGCGAAAGCGUGGGGAGCAAACAG
rnacentral:rRNA from 1 species